rnacentral:rRNA from 1 species
GACGUAGGGGGCAAGCGUUGUCCGGAAUUAUUGGGCGUAAAGCGCACGCAGGCGGUUUGCCAGGUUUGUGGUGACAGCUCCUCGCUUAACGAGGAGAGCGCUGCAAAAACCGGUAGACUUGAGAGCGAGAGAGGGACAUGGGACUCCCGGAGGAGCAGUGAAAUGCGUAGAGAUCGGGAAGAACACCAAUGGCGAAGGCAGUGUCCUGGCUCGUUUCUGACGCUCGGGUGCGAAAGCCAGGGGAG